UACGUAGGGUGCGAGCGUUGUCCGGAAUUAUUGGGCGUAAAGAGCUCGUAGGCGGUGUGUCGCGUCGGCCGUGAAAACCUGCAGCUUAACUGUGGGCUUGCGGUCGAUACGGGCAUCACUGGAGUUCGGUAGGGGAGACUGGAAUUCCUGGUGUAGCGGUGAAAUGCGCAGAUAUCAGGAAGAACACCCGUGGCGAAGGCGGCUCUCUGGGACGGUACUGACGCUGAGACGCGAAAGCGUGGGGAGCGAACAGG
rnacentral:rRNA from 1 species